rnacentral:rRNA from 1 species
UACCCUCGAAAGAGAUUUCGGUCAAUGGAGAGGACUACUUAGUGGCGGACGGGUGAGUAACGCGUGAGGAACCUGCCUUUCAGAGGGGGACAACAGCUGGAAACGGCUGCUAAUACCGCAUAACGCAUAGGUAUCGCAUGGUACAGAUGCCAAAGAUUUAUCGCUGAGAGAUGGCCUCGCGUCUGAUUAGCUAGUUGGUAGGGUAACGGCCUACCAAGGCGACGAUCAGUAGCCGGACUGAGAGGUUGGCCGGCCACAUUGGGACUGAGAUACGGCCCAGACUCCUACGGGAGGCAGCAGUGGGGAAUAUUGGGCAAUGGGCGAAAGCCUGACCCAGCAACGCCGCGUGAAGGAAGAAGGCUUUCGGGUUGUAAACUUCUUUUAAGAGGGAAGAGCAGAAGACGGUACCUCUUGAAUAAGCCACGGCUAACUACGUGCCAGCAGCCGCGGUAAUACGUAGGUGGCAAGCGUUGUCCGGAUUUACUGGGUGUAAAGGGCGUGCAGCCGGGCUGACAAGUCAGAUGUGAAAUCCCGCGGCUUAACCGCGGAACUGCAUUUGAAACUGUUGGUCUUGAGUAUCGGAGAGGCAGGCGGAAUUCCUAGUGUAGCGGUGAAAUGCGUAGAUAUUAGGAGGAACACCAGUGGCGAAGGCGGCCUGCUGGACGACAACUGACGGUGAGGCGCGAAAGCGUGGGGAGCAAACA